rnacentral:rRNA from 1 species
GAUGAACGCUGACAGAAUGCUUUAACACAUGCAAGUCAACUUGAAUUUGGGUUUUUAACUUAGGUAUGGGUGGCGGACGGGUGAGUAACGCGUAAAGAACUUGCCUCACAGCUAGGGACAACAUUUGGAAACGAAUGCUAAUACCUAAUAUUAUGAUAAUAGGGCAUCCUAUAAUUAUGAAAGCUAUAAGCGCUGUGAGAGAGCUUUGCGUCCCAUUAGCUAGUUGGAGAGGUAACGGCUCACCAAGGCGAUGAUGGGUAGCCGGCCUGAGAGGGUGAUCGGCCACAAGGGGACUGAGACACGGCCCUUACUCCUACGGGAGGCAGCAGUGGGGAAUAUUGGACAAUGGACCAAGAGUCUGAUCCAGCAAUUCUGUGUGCACGAUGAAGUUUUUCGGAAUGUAAAGUGCUUUCAGUUGGGAAGAAAGAAAUGACGGUACCAACAGAAGAAGUGACGGCUAAAUACGUGCCAGCAGCCGCGGUAAUACGUAUGUCACGAGCGUUAUCCGGAUUUAUUGGGCGUAAAGCGCGUCUAGGUGGUUAUGUAAGUCUGAUGUGAAAAUGCAGGGCUCAACUCUGUAUUGCGUUGGAAACUGUAUAACUAGAGUACUGGAGAGGUAAGCGGAACUACAAGUGUAGAGGUGAAAUUCGUAGAUAUUUGUAGGAAUGCCGAUGGGGAAGCCAGCUUACUGGACAGAUACUGACGCUGAAGCGCGAAAGCGUGGGUAGCAAACAGG